rnacentral:rRNA from 1 species
GGGGGGGGGGGGGGGGGGGGGGGGGGCGGGCGAGGCGGGCGAGGGGGCGGGGCGGGCGCCGGGGGGUAGGGGCGGACGGGGGAGUAAUACGUGAGUGGCCGACCUUUGACUCUGGGAUAAGCCUGGGGAACUGGGGCGAAUACCGGCGACGACCAAUCUCUGCAUGGGGUGUUGGUGGGAAGCGGUGGGGAGUGGGUUUAGAUGGGCUCACGGCCUAUCAGCUUGUUGGUGAGGUAAUGGCUUACCAAGGCGACGACGGGUAGCCGGCCUGAGAGGGUGACCGGCCACACUGGGACUGAGACACGGCCCAGACUCCUACGGGAGGCAGCAGUGGGGAAUAUUGCACAAUGGGCGCAAGCCUGAUGCAGCGACGCCGCGUGAGGGAUGACGGCCUUCGGGUUGUAAACCUCUGUUAGCAUCGAAGAAGCGAAAGUGACGGUAGGUGCAGAGAAAGCGCCGGCUAACUACGUG